AAAGGAUUGACGUUGUUUGGUGCCAACAACAUGCAUUGUCUACAGUCCAAACGGCAACCGUAAGAGGAUCCUAACAGACCUGCCAACCUCUCAGCCUACGAGCAGCAGAAUCCUCUGAGCAGCUGAAAAUUUGGCCAGAACUGUACAGCAGCAGCAGCAGCAGAAGAGGCUGGAUGUCACAGAGUGUACAUCGACCAAUCGCAUCCUGUUUCUGCUCACAUGCUCGCCCUCAGCUGCACUUCACUCCACCCACUACCUUCUCCGUGUCAGAGAAGGAAGUCAAUAGACUGUUUCAGAGGCAGGAACCCUGUAAAGCAGCUGAGCCGGACUAUGUCUCCCCAUCCGCCCUGAAGCGCUGUGCUGAUCGGCUGUCUCCGGUGUUCGCAGACAUUUUUAACACCUCACUGGAGACAUGCCAUGUGCCUGCCUGCCUGCCUGCCUGCUUUAAAGCAUCCACCAUCAUCCCUGUCUCCAAGGACCACAGGACUAAAUGACUUCAGACCCAUCACCCUGCCCUCUGUGGUAAUGAAGUCCAUCAGGACUAAAACCUCUCGCGACAAAAACACCUUCUUUCCCUCUGCAGCUAGCCUCAUUAACAAGGCCCCGGUCCUCCACUGACACUUCCCCCUUCCAAAUAAUACGAAAAUCUCAGCACAUGCCAAUACUAUUUUAUUCAAUUUUAUAUUGUUAUUGUAUUCUCAUGACAUUCCUAUACAACUUGUUUUUGCUUUUUAACUAUAUAUUUCCAGAUGUAUUUAUGUCAACUGCAUGUGUGUCUAUGUCUAGCACCUUACCACCAAAGCAAAUUCCUUGUACGUGUGAAACACUACUCGUUUGUUUUUUUCUGUUUCUGAUCCUGAAAUGUUGCUUGAGGUUGUCAUUUUUCAAUAAAAGACAUUUAAUUGCUUUCCAUCUUACACUGA